rnacentral:rRNA from 1 species
CCUACGGGAGGCAGCAGUAAGGAAUAUUGGUCAAUGGAGGCAACUCUGAACCAGCCAUGCCGCGUGCAGGAAGACUGCCCUAUGGGUUGUAAACUGCUUUUAUCCGGGAAUAAACCUGCUUACGUGUAAGUAGCUGAAUGUACCGGAAGAAUAAGGAUCGGCUAACUCCGUGCCAGCAGCCGCGGUAAUACGGAGGAUCCAAGCGUUAUCCGGAUUUAUUGGGUUUAAAGGGUGCGUAGGCGGCCUGUUAAGUCAGGGUGAAGAA